rnacentral:rRNA from 1 species
UACAUGUGGGGCAAGCGUUGUUCGGAAUUACUGGGCAUAAAGGGUGCGUAGGUGGCUUGUUAAGUCAGGGGUGAAAGUUUUCGGCCCAACCGGAAAAUGGCCUUUGAUACUGGCGAGCUCGAGUGCGUGAGGGGCAACCGGAACGAGCAGUGUAGCGGUGAAAUGCGUAGAUAUUGCUCGGAAGGCCAACGGCGAAGGCAGGUUACUGGUGCGCAACUGACACUGAGGCACGAAAGCGUGGGGAGCAAACAGG